UCGCGAAUUUUUCUCAAUGGGCGCAAGCCUGAAGAAGCCAUGCCGCGUGCGGGACGAAGGCCCUCUGGGUUGUAAACCGCUGUCAGGGAAGGGGAAACGUGCGAUGUUAAUAGCGUCGUAUUUGACUGCUUUCCAAAGGAAGCACCGGCAAAACAUGUGCCAGCAGCCGCGGUAAUACAUGUGGUGCAAGCGUUGUUCGGAAUUACUGGGCAUAAAGGGUGCGUAGGCGGUGUCGUCAGUCUGGGGUGAAAUCCUGCGGCCCAACCGUGGGACUGCCUCGGAUACUGCGAUGCUUGAGUGCGUGAGGGGUGAUCGGAACGCGUGGUGUAGCGGUGAAAUGCGUAGAUAUCACGCGGAAGGCCAACGGCGAAGGCAGAUCACUGGCGCGCAACUGACGCUGAGUGCACGAAAGCGUGGGGAGCAAACAGG
rnacentral:rRNA from 1 species